GCAAGUCGAACGAGAAAGAUUUCUUCGGAAAUUGAGUAGAGUGGCGCACGGGUGAGUAACGCGUAGGUAAUCUACCCUAAUAUUUGGGAUAACAUUGGGAAACUGGUGCUAAUACCGAAUACCCUUCUUUUCUGUCGGGUUAAGGAGGAAAGGUGGCCUCUUCAUGAAAGCUACCGUAUAAGGAUGAGCCUGCGUACCAUUAGCUAGUAGGUGGGGUAAAGGCCCACCUAGGCUACGAUGGUUAGCGGGUCUGAGAGGAUGAUC
rnacentral:rRNA from 1 species